GACAGAGGGUGCAAACGUUGUUCGGAAUUACUGGGCGUAAAGCGCGUGUAGGCGGCCCGGAAAGUCGGAUGUGAAAGCCCUGGGCUUAACCUGGGAAUGGCAUUUGGGACUGCAAGGCUUGAGUGCGGCAGAGGAGACUGGAAUUCCUGGUGUAGCAGUGAAAUGCGUAGAUAUCAGGAGGAAUACCGAUGGCGAAGGCAGGUCUCUGGGCUGACACUGACGCUCAUGCACGAAAGCGUGGGGAGCAAACAGG
rnacentral:rRNA from 1 species